rnacentral:rRNA from 1 species
GCGCAGCCUGAUCAGCCAUGCCGCGUGAGUGAUGAAGGCCCUAGGGUUGUAAAGCUCUUUCGCGGUGAAGAUAAUGACGGUACCCGUAGAAGAAGCCCCGGCUAACUUCGUGCCAGCACCCGCGGUAAUA